rnacentral:rRNA from 1 species
GACGAACGCUGGCGGCGUGCUUAACACAUGCAAGUCGAACGGUAAGGCCCUUCGGGGUACACGAGUGGCGAACGGGUGAGUAACACGUGGGUGAUCUGCCCUGCACUUCGGGAUAAGCCUGGGAAACUGGGUCUAAUACCGGAUAGGACUCCUGGCUUCAUGGUUGGGGGUGGAAAGCUUUUGCGGUGUGGGAUGGGCCCGCGGCCUAUCAGCUUGUUGGUGGGGUAAUGGCCUACCAAGGCGACGACGGGUAGCCGGCCUGAGAGGGUGACUGGUCAGACUGGGACUGAGAUACUGCCCAGACUCCUACGGGAGGCAGCAGUGGGGAAUAUUGCACAAUGGGCGCAAGCCUGAUGCAGCGACGCCGCGUGAGGGAUGACGGCCUUCGGGUUGUAAACCUCUUUCAGCUAUGACGAAGCGCAAGUGACGGUAGUAGCAGAAGAAGGACCGGCCAACUACGUGCCAGCCGCCGCCGUAA